GGGUUGUGAGGUUAAGCGACUAAGCGUACACGGUGGAUGCCCUGGCAGUCAGAGGCGAUGAAGGACGUGCUAAUCUGCGAUAAGCGUCGGUAAGGUGAUAUGAACCGUUAUAACCGGCGAUUUCCGAAUGGGGAAACCCAGUGUGUUUCGACACACUAUCAUUAACUGAAUCCAUAGGUUAAUGAGGCGAACCGGGGGAACUGAAACAUCUAAGUACCCCGAGGAAAAGAAAUCAACCGAGAUUCCCCCAGUAGCGGCGAGCGAACGGGGAGGAGCCCAGAGCCUGAAUCAGUGUGUGUGUUAGUGGAAGCGUCUGGAAAGGCGCGCGAUACAGGGUGACAGCCCCGUACACAAAAAUGCACAUGCUGUGAGCUCGAUGAGUAGGGCGGGACACGUGGUAUCCUGUCUGAAUAUGGGGGGACCAUCCUCCAAGGCUAAAUACUCCUGACUGACCGAUAGUGAACCAGUACCGUGAGGGAAAGGCGAAAAGAACCCCGGCGAGGGGAGUGAAAAGAACCUGAAACCGUGUACGUACAAGCAGUGGGAGCACAGAGCAAUCUGUGUGACUGCGUACCUUUGUAUAAUGGGUCAGCGACUUAUAUUCUGUAGCAAGGUUAACCGAAUAGGGGAGCCGAAGGGAAACCGAGUCUUAACUGGGCGUUAAGUUGCAGGGUAUAGACCCGAAACCCGGUGAUUCAGCCAUGGGCAGGUUGAAGGUUGGGUAACACUAACUGGAGGACCGAACCGACUAAUGUUGAAAAAUUAGCGGAUGACUUGUGGCUGGGGGUGAAAGGCCAAUCAAACCGGGAGAUAGCUGGUUCUCCCCGAAAGCUAUUUAGGUAGCGCCUCGUGAAUUCAUCUCCGGGGGUAGAGCACUGUUUCGGCAAGGGGGUCAUCCCGACUUACCAACCCGAUGCAAACUGCGAAUACCGGAGAAUGUUAUCACGGGAGACACACGGCGGGUGCUAACGUCCGUCGUGAAGAGGGAAACAACCCAGACCGCCAGCUAAGGUCCCAAAGUCAUGGUUAAGUGGGAAACGAUGUGGGAAGGCCCAGACAGCCAGGAUGUUGGCUUAGAAGCAGCCAUCAUUUAAAGAAAGCGUAAUAGCUCACUGGUCGAGUCGGCCUGCGCGGAAGAUGUAACGGGGCUAAACCAUGCACCGAAGCUGCGGCAGCGACACUGUGUGUUGUUGGGUAGGGGAGCGUUCUGUAAGCCUGUGAAGGUGUGCUGUGAGGCAUGCUGGAGGUAUCAGAAGUGCGAAUGCUGACAUAAGUAACGAUAAAGCGGGUGAAAAGCCCGCUCGCCGGAAGACCAAGGGUUCCUGUCCAACGUUAAUCGGGGCAGGGUGAGUCGACCCCUAAGGCGAGGCCGAAAGGCGUAGUCGAUGGGAAACAGGUUAAUAUUCCUGUACUUGGUGUUACUGCGAAGGGGGGACGGAGAAGGCUAUGUUGGCCGGGCGACGGUUGUCCCGGUUUAAGCGUGUAGGCUGGUUUUCCAGGCAAAUCCGGAAAAUCAAGGCUGAGGCGUGAUGACGAGGCACUACGGUGCUGAAGCAACAAAUGCCCUGCUUCCAGGAAAAGCCUCUAAGCAUCAGGUAACAUCAAAUCGUACCCCAAACCGACACAGGUGGUCAGGUAGAGAAUACCAAGGCGCUUGAGAGAACUCGGGUGAAGGAACUAGGCAAAAUGGUGCCGUAACUUCGGGAGAAGGCACGCUGAUAUGUAGGUGAAGUCCCUCGCGGAUGGAGCUGAAAUCAGUCGAAGAUACCAGCUGGCUGCAACUGUUUAUUAAAAACACAGCACUGUGCAAACACGAAAGUGGACGUAUACGGUGUGACGCCUGCCCGGUGCCGGAAGGUUAAUUGAUGGGGUCAGCGCAAGCGAAGCUCUUGAUCGAAGCCCCGGUAAACGGCGGCCGUAACUAUAACGGUCCUAAGGUAGCGAAAUUCCUUGUCGGGUAAGUUCCGACCUGCACGAAUGGCGUAAUGAUGGCCAGGCUGUCUCCACCCGAGACUCAGUGAAAUUGAACUCGCUGUGAAGAUGCAGUGUACCCGCGGCAAGACGGAAAGACCCCGUGAACCUUUACUAUAGCUUGACACUGAACAUUGAGCCUUGAUGUGUAGGAUAGGUGGGAGGCUUUGAAGUGUGGACGCCAGUCUGCAUGGAGCCGACCUUGAAAUACCACCCUUUAAUGUUUGAUGUUCUAACGUGGACCCGUGAUCCGGGUUGCGGACAGUGUCUGGUGGGUAGUUUGACUGGGGCGGUCUCCUCCUAAAGAGUAACGGAGGAGCACGAAGGUUGGCUAAUCCCUGGUCGGACAUCAGGAGGUUAGUGCAAUGGCAUAAGCCAGCUUGACUGCGAGCGUGACGGCGCGAGCAGGUGCGAAAGCAGGUCAUAGUGAUCCGGUGGUUCUGAAUGGAAGGGCCAUCGCUCAACGGAUAAAAGGUACUCCGGGGAUAACAGGCUGAUACCGCCCAAGAGUUCAUAUCGACGGCGGUGUUUGGCACCUCGAUGUCGGCUCAUCACAUCCUGGGGCUGAAGUAGGUCCCAAGGGUAUGGCUGUUCGCCAUUUAAAGUGGUACGCGAGCUGGGUUUAGAACGUCGUGAGACAGUUCGGUCCCUAUCUGCCGUGGGCGCUGGAGAACUGAGGGGGGCUGCUCCUAGUACGAGAGGACCGGAGUGGACGCAUCACUGGUGUUCGGGUUGUCAUGCCAAUGGCACUGCCCGGUAGCUAAAUGCGGAAGAGAUAAGUGCUGAAAGCAUCUAAGCACGAAACUUGCCCCGAGAUGAGUUCUCCCUGACCCUUUAAGGGUCCUGAAGGAACGUUGAAGACGACGACGUUGAUAGGCCGGGUGUGUAAGCGCAGCGAUGCGUUGAGCUAACCGGUACUAAUGAACCGUGAGGCUUAACCUUACAACGCCGAAGGUGUUU
rnacentral:rRNA from 1 species